UGGACCUCAGAUCAGGCAAGAUCACCCGCUGAGUUUAAGCAUAUCACUAAGCGGAGGAAAAGAAACUAACAAGGAUUUCCUUAGUAACGGCGAGCGAACCGGAAGUAGCCCAGCUUG
rnacentral:rRNA from 1 species